rnacentral:rRNA from 1 species
UUGCAGCAAUGCAGAAUAGUGGCAAACGGGUGAGUACAACACAGGAACGUACCUUUAAGUGGGGGACAACUAUUCGAAAGGAUAGCUAAUACCGCAUGUGUCCGCAAGGAUAAAGGAUGUAACUAUUUGCUUAAAGAGCGGCCUGUGCACUAUCAGCUUGUUGGUGGGGUAAUGGCCUACCAAGGCUACGACGGUUAGGGGGUGUGAGAGCAUGGCCCCCCACAAGGACACUGAGAUACGGGUCCUACAUC